AUGCCUCUCCUUAAUGUCAAUAUGUCUUGUCCAUUGCUGUUCUGGUUAGUGUUUAUUGGCUUAUUUCACUGUAGAGCCUCUAGUCCUGCUCACUAUACCUUAUCCAACCUAUUAGUUCCACCACCCACACAUGCAAUGACAUCUCCUGGUUUCAAUGAUGUUUCUAGAGACAAUAUCUCUCUCUUCAUCACUCAAUACCUAGGUUUACCUCCACUGUAUUCACAUCCUACCUUACCUUUGUCUGUACAUUAUACCUUGAUGCUAUUUUAUCGCCCCCAGAAACCUCCUUUUACUCUCUGUUCCAGACGUUCUAGACGACCAAUUCUUAUUGCUUUUAGUCACACCCUUAUUCUACUCCUCCUAUGUUCCUCUGGCGAUGUAGAGGUGAAUCCAGGCCCUGCAGUGCCUAGCUCCACUCCUAUUCCCCAGGCGCUCUCUUUUGACGACUUCUGUAACCGUAAUAGCCUUGGUUUCAUGCAUGUUAACAUUAGAAGCCUCCUCCCUAAGUUUGUUCUAUUCACUGCUUUAGCACACUCUGCCAACCCGGAUGUUCUAGCUGUGUCUGAAUCCUGGCUUAGGAAGACCACCAAAAAUUCAGACAUUUUAAUUCCAAACUACAACAUUUUCAGACAAGAUAGAACUGCCAAAGGGGGCGGUGUUGCAAUCUACUGCAAAGAUAGCCUGCAGAGUUCUGUCCUAUUAUCCAGGUCUGUACCCAAACAAUUUGAACUUCUACUUUUAAAAAUCCACCUCUCUAAAAACAAGUCUCUCACCGUUGCCGCCUGCUAUAGACCACCCUCUGCCCCCAGCUGUGCUCUGGACACCAUAUGUGAACUGAUUGCCCCCCAUCUAUCUUCAGAGCUCGUGCUGCUAGGCGACCUAAACUGGAACAUGCUUAACACCCCAGCCAUCCUACAAUCUAAACUUGAUGCCCUCAAUCUCACACAAAUUAUCAAUGAACCUACCAGGUACCUCCCCAAAGCCUUAAACACGGGCACCCUCAUAGAUAUCAUCCUAACCAACUUCCCCUCUAAAUACACCUCUGCUGUCUUCAACCAAGAUCUCAGCGAUCACUGCCUCAUUGCCUGCAUCCGUAAUGGGUCAGCGGUCAAACGACCUCCUCUCAUCACUGUAAAAACACUUCAGCGAGCAGGCCUUUCUAAUCGACCUGGCCGGGGUAUCCUGGAAGGAUAUUGA
rnacentral:lncRNA from 1 species